rnacentral:lncRNA from 1 species
GACUUAGGAAAAUAUCAGAUAUGAUUUCUGACACACUUUUGUCAUAAUGGCCAACCAGCUCAUGAUGGCGACCGUAAAUUUCUUGAGUUAUGACCUUAAUCUAUUUGAUUCAUAGCCCUGUCUAGAGGGGCUAAAUAUACCAGUGGAACAGCCAAACUCAUAAAUCGAAAAUAAACUGACAACGCCAUGGUUAAAGAUGAAAAAGAAAGGAAAAAAAAACAAAUAAUAGUACACAAGAAACAACAGAUAAUACCAAAGACUGAGCAACCCGACCAAACUAUGCA